CCCUUAGACGUUCUGGGCCGCACGCGCGCUACACUGACGAAGGCAACGAGCUUUCCUUUACCGAAAGGUACGGGUAAUCUUUUGAAACUUCGUCGUGCUGGGGAUAGAUCCUUGCAAUUUUUGAUCUUAAACGAGGAAUGCCUAGUAAGCGCAAGUCAUCAACUUGCGUUGAUUACGUCCCUGCCCUUUGUACACACCGCCCGUCGCUACUACCGAUUGAAUGGUUUAGUGAGGCCUUCGGUUCCGCGACUCGUUUGUGGAGAAGUUGGACAAACUCAGUCAUUUAGAGGAAGUAAAAGUCGUAACA
rnacentral:rRNA from 1 species